AUCAUUUAGCAGAGUAAUGAGCAGAUGCUUCCAGGAGGCCAAUAUGGGAAACCCACUCUUGACAUUGUUCUUUAAAAGCCCCACAGAACCACCGAGAAGAGGGACACCUGUCCCCAUUUUUCACAUAAAUAAACUGAGGUUCUGAGCAAAGCAUAGGUCCAGACUUUGGAGGAAGACUGGAAUCCAGGUGAAUCUCUACGGGCAGACAAGGCUCAGGGAGCUGGGCAUCUUGGGGAGAUGAGGCUGGACCUGGGGCUGCGGGAGCCCUUGGGGGAAGGCACCACGUCGGCAGCUCUACAGGAUCCUGGCCCCUGUAGGGGAGUAGAUCGAACGAGGGGGUGAAGCAGCAGGGAGGAGGCGGCGGGGGCCCCCAGGGUGGGGAGGAGCAGGCGGAGUCCGCGUCGCUUAGGAAGAGGCCCCAAGGAAGGAGCAGACCGGGGGCGAGGGCCUACAUAUGGGGUGUGAACACAGAGUAAACACUCAGCCAACAGUCCAGGAGCUGAUGAAGGAUAAACACAAUGUAUCCAGUCAUAUGGUGUAUUAUUCAGCCAAAGAGAAGAAUGAAGCACCGAUACACACUGCAACACGUAUGAACCUUAAAAAUCUUAUGCUGAGUGAAAGAAGCCAGAUGCGAAAGGCCCCAUAGGAUGUGAUUCCGUUUAUGUGAAAUGUCCAAAACAGGAAAACUGCUGAGUAAUGAAGAUCUCCCUGAUCCAUGUUGCUGCGUCCUGGCCUCCCUCUCCAGGAAUCGAGACUUCUAAGGGUUGUGGAAAAGGCUUCGCCCUUCCAGAGAGUUCUGGGGAACCUUGUGGAGUCUCUCCAUGGCAACAAGGAGGAAGCAAGGCCACCUCACCACACUUGACAGGGAUGUGGGCACUUGGGGACCUCCCACAGACCUGCUGGCCGGGGAGGCAUAACCUGCUGGAGGGGUGUAGCGUGGAGGGACGGGCCUGGGGGUGCUUAUAGGGAUGGUUUUCCAAGGAACAGAGACGGGAACGAGGGAGGGGAGAUGCAUGCCUGUAUUCCCCAAGUAUUUUUAGGCACUGAACGCGGCCCUGAAAUAUUCCACGGCCACUCCCAAGAGUGAGCUGGGUGACUAUUUUGGUGCCUGGUUCCAGCGGGGGCGGAAUGGGGGUGAGUCAUCCCUGGGUGGCUGGGCCCAGACCAGGAGGGGGGGUCUCAGGGCAGGACCCAGGGCCUGUAAGGUGACAGCUUAGGAACCUGGGGCCAGGCAUCUGGUGUCGGCCUCCGGGGCACAGAGGACAGUGGCCUGGCCCCUCCCUGUGGCAUGGCACCGCUGCUCAGGUCCCCCCGGCCAGUCAGUCACGCUGCCCCCACAGCUAAUGGAGAGAAAGAGGGUCCUAGGUGAGGUUUCAGACACUCCCCAGGUGCCCAGUGAGGCGCUUCUCCUGUGUUUUCAAGCA
ensembl:lncRNA